rnacentral:lncRNA from 1 species
CCAGGUACGUGCAUUAAUCUGACGUGGCGAAAUGCCAAUAACGCCAGCAUCCCUCUCGGUUGUGUUGAGUAUCCGGAGGGUGUGAAGCAACAAGAGACAGUAAGAAAGGUUUACACAGGGUCUUAAUCUAAAAAGAAACCUUUGAGCGGGGCCCUGCUGCACGUCUGCACCUGUGUCUCCGUUGUGCUGUAUCCUGGAAGGGUGUAGCACGAUUGUCAUCUGUAAAAGAGAAAAAUUUAGAUGAAAGUCUUCGUGCGAAAAACUGAUUAUUCUCAUUAAAAUUCAAUCUAAAUGAGGUAAAGCCGAACUGUAGUCCUUUUUACAUGCGGGAAGCCCCUGGUACCGCCUAUGGGGGUAUAUCCAUCAAACCAAUCUCAGGUUUAUCUAAGCUGUUACAGCUAGUGGUGCGCCGGACUCGUCUAGCCGAGUCAGCGGUCUUGACGACCGACCAUUUAUUCUGAUUGGAGAGGCCAUUUAGUGUUCGGCUGCUAAAGCCGACACACGUUCUUCCGCGCGUAAGGAACUCUCAGUGUUUCCGCUAACUAUGAUGAUGCCCCGUGGACCGGGCAUCUUAAGCUUAAGAGAAGCGUAAUGCGGUACCGCAUUAAAACGAGCGAAGGUUGUUCUUCCGAGUAGUGCUUGAUAGCCGCUUCGGAAUGGAGCGAUGUCGAAGGUUAACUUUUCACUUAGGAAGUUGCCGGGAGAACCGAAUACAACCUCUAGUACUAGAGAGCCCGUACAGCGGGCCUCUGGGCCUGGUAUUACUCCUUUAAAGGUAGUAUUGCUUUGGCUGAUUCUUUUCGGGUCUAUCCCCAUUUUGCGGACUAUGUCCUGAUAUAUCAGAUUAAGACUACUGCCGCCGUCCAUGAGGACUUGGGUGAGAUGGUAUCCGUCGAUUAUUGGGUCUAGCACCAAGGCAGUCAAUCCUCUGUGCCGGAUACUAGUCGGGUGAUCCCUGUGAUCAAAAGUGAUCGGGCAGGCCGACCAAGGGUUGAACUUAGGGGUGACGGGCUCUACGGCGCAUAUGUCUCGGAGUGCGUGUUUGCUCCUCCUUUUUGUUACGUGAAUCAUGUUCACUGUUUUGACCUCUGGUGGGAAUUUUUUCUGUCCCCCAGUGUUUUGCUGGCGAGGCUCAUCCUCGUCUUCACUUGGUGUCUCCCUCCCCUUGUGUUCGGCAUUUAGCUUGCCGGCCUGCUUGAAGACCCAGCAUUCUCUGUGGGUGUAAUUUGCAGGUUUAUCGGAGGUGCCAUGAAUCUGACAUAAUUUGUCUAGAAUCUUGUUUAGGUUGGACGGUCCAUCUCUAUUGCCUUUGAAAGGCUUUUUCCGUUGACCGGGUCGAGAGCCCCUAAAUCCGGCGUUUACCGCCGUGUUGCCUGGGUUGUCUUCGUUAUUUCGACGCUUGCUUUUACUGAGUCGUGGUUUUCCAUUGCCAUCCUUGACUUCAGAUGUGCCUGGGUCGCUGGUGCUACGACGGGCCAGCCAGCUAUCUUCGCCCGCGCAAAAGCGGGUCAUAAGGCUUGUUAGGGCUGCCAUUGUCCUCGGUUUUUCUUGGCCGAGGUGUCUGGCGAGCCAUUCAUCGCAGAUGCUGUGUUUGAAAGCUGCUAAGGCUUCGGUGUCCGGGCAGUCGACGAUUUGGUUCUUCUUAGUGAGAAAUCUGUUCCAAAGCUUUCGGGCUGACUCUCCGGGCUGUUGAAUUAUAUGACUUAAAUCGUUUGCAUCCAGAGGUCGAACAUAGGUCCCUUGAAAGUUAGCCCUGAAAGCAUCCUCAAGCUCCUCCCAACUUCCAAUUGAAUUUUCGGGGAGGCUCUUCAGCCAGUGCCGAGCUGGUCCUUUCAGCUUGAGGGGCAAGUACUUGAUGGCGUGGAGAUCGUCUCCGCGAGCCAUAUGGAUAUGGAGGAUGAAGUCCUCAAUCUAGACCCCAGGGUCUGUCGUUCCGUCGUACGCCUCUAUGUUCACGGGUUUGAAUCCCUCUGGGAAUUCGUGAUCCAGCACCUCAUCGGUGAAGCAUAGGGGGUGCGUGGCACCCCUGUACUUGGACGUGUCAUGACGUUCUGACGGUUGUGGUGUUCUGUUUUGAUUCUGUGCCGGAGCGCGCUUCCUAGAUCCGUAGAUGGACCUGGUCAUAUCGACAUCGUUAGCCGCCCUAUCGCGGCCACGGGGUGGUCGAUCCGGCUGAUUGGCCGUUUUAGUUUUCGGCUGUGUGGGCUAUAAAGCCUCGUCAUCGAAUUUAGGCAGCAGCUUGCGCUUUGGAUAGCUCUUUGUGUGGCGACUGCCACCGUAUUUUUCUGCCGUGUCGAGCACUUUGUUCCAUCUACUGUUGAGUGUAUUUUGUGCGGCCUUGUGCCUUUGCUUCUACUUCUUUAGACUCCUCGCAGUGGCAAGAAGCCUUCUAUGGAGGUUCUCUUGCUCCAAGUGCCUUUCCGGGAUGAUGUGUGCAUCGUCGUCCGGACUGUUCUCCUCUCCGGAGACAGGUUGACUAGCUUUAUCCUCGGCGUCGCCGUGAUCGGACAGCGGCUCCGUGCUAUGUUCGCCGUCUGCUGGCUCGUCCUGCUCUAUCGCUGGGUCCAUGUGGUCGUCGUUUCCUCUGGAGUCGACCAGGGUAUUAUUUUUUCUUGCGUUGUUAUCGCUGUUUUUGCCGAGGCGGGAUUUGGAGCGGCGCCUACGCCGUCGCUUUGGUUGCUUCUCGAGGGAGCUAUCUUUGCUGCAUCCUUCCGUUCCUCGUCAUUGUUCUCUUUGGUUGUAUCCACCAUAUAUAUAUCGUGUGAUGAAGUGGUUGUCCAGCGCCCUGUGGGCGGUGGUUCCUAUUCCUCUCCUGCAUCGUCGUCCAUACCGUCGAUGUCUUCGGAGUCGAAAUCGAGCAUGUCGGUUAAAUCAUCGACAGUGGCUAUUAAGUGGGUGGUGGGUGGGGAACGAAUUUCUUCGUCGUCCGCUUCCCGUUCGAGCCGGUCAUAGUUCGGCCAAGGGCCUCCUGACAAGGAGAGAGACCUUAAUGAAUUUAGCACAUCGCCCAAGGGCGAGUGCUGAAAGAUAUCCGCAGAGGAAAACUCCAUGAUUGGUGCCCAAUCAGAUUCGAUUGGCACGGACGCGGGCGGUUGGGAGCUCGUGGCCGGGGACGAAUCCAAGUAUCCGGCAACACGGGUCUCAUAGGAGGUGAAGUCAGUAUUCGGCUCUAUCACCACUGAGAGUGUGGCCUCCGAGGCGGGGUCCAUCCACCCGUCCUCGGACGGCGCAAUCGACUCCGGAUCUAGGGCUGGAGUAGCCAUAGGUGUGAUCUCCCGAACACCAUCCGACGGCAGAGCUAAGUCAUGCUCGUCGUGACUGUGAGGCGCACCUGACAUGGGCUCGAAUCCGUCAAAGAUCAAGUCUCCGCGGAUGUCGACAGUGUAGUUUAAAUUUCCAAACCUGACCUGACGGCCAGGGGCGUAGCUCUCGAUCUGCUCCAGAUGGCCAAGCGAGUUGGCCCGCAGUACGAAGCCGCCGAAUACAAAGAUCUGUCCGGGGAGGAAAACCUCACCCUGGAUCGCAUUGUUGCCGAUGAUCGAAGGGGCCAUCAAACCUUGUGAUGACGGCACAGUGGAACUCUCAAUGAAAGCACCAAUGUCGGUGUCAAAACCGGCAGAUCUCGGGUAGGGGGUCCCGAACUAUGCGUCUAAGGCGGAUGGUAACAGGAGGCGGGGGACACGAUGUUUACCCAGGUUCGGGCCCUCUCGAUGGAGGUAAUACCCUACUUCCUGCUUGAUUGAUCUUGAUGAUAUGAGUAUUACAAGAGUUGAUCUACCACGAGAUUGUAGAGGCUAAACCCUAGAAGCUAGCCUAUGGUAUGAUUUUUGUUGUCCUACGAACUAAACCCUCCGGUUUAUAUAGACACCGGAGAGGGCUAGGGUUACAUAGAGUCGGUUACAAGGGAGGAGAUCUACAUAUCCGUAUUGACAAGCUUGCCUUCCACGCCAAGGAGAGUCCCAUCCGGACACGGGACGGAGUCUUCAAUCUUGUAUCUUCAUAGUCCAACAGUCCGGCUAAAGUAUAUAGUCCGGUUGUCCGAGGACCCCCUAAUCCAGGACUCCCUCACGGGUGCCAGUCUCUCCCACUUUAGUCGGAUCGGAUUCGAUGAAAAGGGUCCUUAUGAAGGGUAAAUAGCAAUUGGCAUAUCACCGUUGCGGCUUUUUCGUAGGUAAGAAACGUUCUUGCUAGAAACCCAUAGCAGCCACGUAAAACAUGCAAAAACAAUUAGAGGACGUCUAACUUGUUUUGCAGGGUAUGCUAUGGAUGUGAUAUGGCCAAAAGGAUGUGAUGAAUUAUAUAUGUGUGAUGUAUGAGAUUGAUCAUGUUCUUGUAAUAGGAAUCACGACUUGCAUGUCGAUGAGUAUGACAACCGGCAGGAGCCAUAGGAGUUGUCUUAAUUUAUUGUAUGACCUGCGUGUCAUUGAAAACGCCAUGUAAUUACUUUACUUUAUUGCUAACCGUUAGCCAUAGUAGUAGAAGUAGUUGGCGAGACAACUUCAUGAAGACACGAUGAUGGAGAUCAUGGUGUCAUGCCGGUGACGAAGGUGAUCAUGUCGCGCCUCAAAGAUGAAGAUCAAAGGCGCGAGAUGAUAUUGGCCAUAUCAUGUCACUAUGAUUUGCAUGUGAUGUUUGUCAUGUUUACAUCUUAUUUGCUUAGAACGACGGUAGCAUAAAUAAGAUGAUCCCUCAUAAAAUUUCAAGAAAGUGUUCCCCCUAACUGUGCACCGUUGCGAAAGUUCGUUGUUUCGAAGCACCACGUGAUGAUCGGGUGUGAUAGAUUCUAACGUUCGCAUACAACGGGUGUAAGCCAGAUUUACGCAUGCAAAACACUUAGCUUGACUUGAUGAGCCUAGCAUGUACAGACAUGGCCUCGGAACACAAGAGACCGAAAGGUCGAACAUGAGUCGUAUAGUGGAUACGAUCAACAUGAAGAUGUUCAUCGAUGAUGACUAGUCCGUCUCACGUGAUGAUCAAACACGGCCUAGUUGACUCGGAUCAUGUAUCACUUAGAUGACUAGAGGGAUGUCUAUCUGAGUGGGAGUUCAUUAAAUAAUUUGAUUAGAUGAACUUAAUUAUCAUGAACAUAGUCAAAAGGUCUUUGCAAAUUAUGUUGUAGCUCACGCUUUGGUUCUACUGUUUUAGAUAUGUUCCUAGAGAAAAUUUAGUUAAGAGUUGACAGUAGCAAUUAUGCGGACUGGGUCCGUAAACUGAGGAUUGUCCUCAUUGCUGCGCAGAAAGAUUAUGUCCUUAAUGCACUACUCAGUGUGCUGAACCUCGAGCGUCGGUUGUGGAUGUUGUGAACAUCUAACAUACACGUUUUGAUGACUACGUGAUAGUUCAGUGCAUAAUGCUAAAUGGUUUAGAAUUGAGGCACCAAAGACGUUUUUGAAACAUUGCAGGACAUAUGAGAUGUUCCAAGGACUGAAAUUGGGAUUUCAGGCUAGUGCCCACGUCAAGAGGUAUGAGACCUCUGACAAGUUUCUUAAGCCUGCAAACUAAGGAGAAAAUCUCAAUCGUUGAGCAUGUGCUCAGAUUGUAUGAGUACUACAAUCGCUUGAAUCGAGUGGGAGUUAAUCUUCCAGAUGAGAUACUGAUGGUUCUCCAAAGUCACUGCCACCAAGCUACUAGAGCUUUGUGAAGAACUAUAACAUAUCAGGGAUAGAUAUGAUGAUCCUUGAGCUAUUCGCGACACCGCGAAAGUAGAAAUCAAAUAGGAGCAUCAAUUGUUGAUGGUUAGUAAAACCAAUAGUUUCAAGAAGGGCAAGGGCAAGAAAGGGAUACUUCAUGAAACGGCAAAUCAGUUGCUGCUCUAGUGAAGAAACCCAAGGUUGAACCCAAACCCGAGACUAAGUGCUUCUGAAAUAAGGGGAACGGUCACUGAAGCAGAACUACCCUAGAUACUUGGUAGAUGAGAAGGCUGGCAAGGCCGACAGAAGUAUAUUGGAUAUACAUUAUAAUGUGUACUUUACUAGUACUCGUAGUAGCACCAGGGUAUUAAAAUACCAGUUCGGUUGCUAAGUGUUAGUAACUCGAAAUAAAAAACUACGGAAUAAACGGAGACUAGCUGAAGGUGAGAUGACGAUAUGUGUUGGAAGUGUUUCCAAGGUUGAUGUGAUCAAGCAUCGCAUGCUCCCUCUACCAUCGAGAUUGGUGUUAAACCAAAAUAAUUGUUAUUUGGUGUUUGCGUUGAGCAUAGACAUGAUUGGAUUAUGUUUAUCGCAAUACAGUUAUUCAUUUAAGGAGAAUAAUGGUUACUCUGUUUAUUUGAAUAAUACCUUCAAUGGUCUUGCACCUAAAAUGAAUGGUUUAUUGAAUCUCGAUCGUAGUGAUACACAUGUUCAUGCCAAAAGAUAUAAGAUAGUAAUGAUAGUACCACAUACUUGUGGCACUGCCAUUUGAGUCAUAUUGGUAUAAAACGCAUGAAGAAGCUCCAUGUUGAUGGAUCUUUGGACUCACUCGUUUUUUGAGAAGUUUGAGACAUGCGAACCAUGUCUAUUGGUUUAUAUGCAUGAAGAAAAUCCAUGCAGAUGGAUCGUUUGGACUCACUUGAUUUUGAAUCACUUGAGACAUGCAAAUCAUACCACAUGGGCAAGAUGACUGAAACGCCUCGUUUUCAGUGAGAUGAAACAAGAGAGCAACUUGUUGGAAGUAAUACAUUUGAUGUGUGCAAUCCCAUGAGUGCUGAGGCACGCAGUGAAUAUCGUUAUGCUCUUACUUCACAGAUGAUUUGAGUAGAUUCUAAGUAUAUUUACUUGAUGAAACACAAGUCUGAAUUAUUGAAAGGUUCAAGUAAUUUCAGAGUGAAGUUGAAGAUCGUCGUGACAAGAGGAUGAAAUGUCUAUCAUAUGAUCAUAGAGAUGAAUAUCUGAGUUACGUGUUUGGUACACAAUUAAGACAUUAUGGAAAUUGUUUCACAACUAAUGCCGCCUGGAACACCAUAGUGUGAUGGUGUGUCCGAACAUCAUAGUCGCACCCUAUUGGAUGUGGUGCAUACCAUGAUGUCUUUUAUCGAAUUACCACUAUCGUUUAUGGGUUAGGCAUUAGAGACAACCGCACUCACUUUAAAUAGGGCACCACAUAAUUCCGUUGAGUUGACACCGUAUGAACUAUGGUUUAGAGAAACCUAAGCUGUCAUUUCUUAAAAGUUUGGGGCUGCGACGCUUAUGUGAAAAAGGUUUAGCCUGAUAAGCUCGAACCCAAAGCGGAUAAAUGCAUCUUCAUAGGACACCCAAAACAGUUGGGUAUACCUCCUAUUUCGGAUCCGGAAGCAAAAGUGAUUGUUUCUAGAAACGGGUCCUUUCUCGAGGAAAAGUUUCUCUUGAAAGAAUUGGGUGGGAGGAUGGUGGAGACUUGAUGAGGUUAUUGAACCGUCACUUCAACCAGUGUGUAGCAGGGCACAUGAAGUUGUUCCUGUAACGCCUACACCAAUUGAAGUGGAAGCUGAUGAUAGUGAUCAUGAAACUUCGGAUCAAGUCACUACCAAACCUCGUAGGUCGACAAGGAUGCGUACUAUUUCAGAGUGGUACGUAAUUCUAUCUUGGAGGUCAUGUUGCUAGACAACAAUGAACCUACAAGCUAUGGAGAAGCGAUGGUGGGCCCGGAUUCCGACAAAUGGCUCGAGGCCAUAAAAUCCGAGAGGAUCCAUGUGUGAAAACAAAGUAUAGACUUUGGAAGAACUACUUGAUGGUCGUAAGGCUAUUAGGUACAGAUGGAUUUUAAAAGAAAGACGGACAAUGAUGGUAAGUAUCACCAUUAAGAAAGCUCGACUUGUCGUUAAGAUGUUUUCCGACAAGUUCAAGGAGUUGACUACGGUGAGACUUUCUCGCUCGUAGUGAUGCUAAGAGUCUGUUGGAAUUGUAUUAGCAGUUACUGCAUUAUUUAUGAAAUCUUGCAGAUAGGAUGUCAAAACAUUGUUUCCUCGACAAUUUUUUUGAGGAAAGAUUGUAUGUGAUACAACCAGAAGGUUUUUGUCAAUCCUAAAAGAUGCUAACAAGUAUGCAAAGCUCCAGCAAUCCUUCUAAGGACUGGAGUAAGCAUCUCGGAGUUGGAAUAUACGCUUUGAUGAAAUGAUCAAAGAUUUUGGGUUUAUACAAAGUUUAUGAGAAACUUGUAUUUCCAAAGAAGUUAGUGGGAGCACUAUAGAAUUUCUGAUGAGUAUAUGUUGUUGACAUAUUCUUGAUCAGAAAUGAUGUAGAAUUUCUGGAAAGCAUAUAGGGUUAUUUGAAAAGUGUUUUUCAAUGGAAAACCUGGAUUAAGCUACUUGAACAUUGAGCAUCAAGAUCUAUAAGAUAGAUCAAAAACGCUUAAUAGUACUUUCAAAUGAAUACAUACCGUGACAAGAUUUUGAAGGAGUUCAAAUAGAUCAGCAAAGAAGGAGUUCUUGGUUGUGUUAUAAGGUGUGAGCAUUGAGUACGACUCAAGAUCUGACCACGGCAGAAGAGAGAGAAAGUACGAAGGUCGUCCCCUAUGCUUUAGACGUAGGCUCUACAGUAUGCUAUGUUGUGUACCGCACCUGAAGUGUGCCUUGCCAUGAGUCAAUCAAGGGGUACAAGAGUGAUCCAGGAAUGGAUCACAUGACAGCGGUCAAACUUAUCCUUAGUAACUAGUGGACUAAGGAAUUUUCUCGAUUAUGGAGGUGGUAAAAGAGUUCGUCGUAAAGGGUUACUUCGAUGCAAACUUUGACACUAAUCCGGAUGACUCUAAGUAGUAAACCGGAUUCGUAUAGUAGAGCAGUUAUUUGGAAUAGCUCCAAGUAGCGCAUGGUAGCUGCAUCUAUAAGAUGACAUAGAGAUUUGUAAAGCACACACAGAUCUGAAAGGUUCAAACCCGUUGACUAAUGACCUCUAUCACAAGCGAGAUAUGAUCAAACCCCAUCGGUGUUGGAUUCAUUACAAUCACAUAGUGAUGUGAACUAGAUUAUUGACUCUAGUGCAAGUGGGAGACUGUUGGAAAUAUGCCCUAGAGGCAAUAAUAAAAUGGUUAUUAUUAUAUUUCCUUGUUCAUGAUAAUUGUCUAUUGUUCAUGCUAUAACUGUAUUAACUGGAAACUGUAAUACAUGUGUGAAUACAUAGACCACAACAUGUCCCUAGUGAGCCUCUAGUUGACUAGCUCGUUGAUCAAUAGAUGGUUAUGGUUUCCUGACCAUGGACAUUAGAUGUCAUUGAUAACAGGAUCAUAUCAUUAGGAGAAUGUUGUGAUGGACAAGACCCAAUCCUAAGCAUAGCACAAGAUCGUGUAGUUCGUUUGCUAGAAGCUUUUCUAAUGUCAAGUAUCAUUUCCUUAGGAAAGGCUAGAGAACCUUGGGAUGCUACCUCCAAGACUUACAUGCCCUCGAGAGGUAUAUGCAAAUGCCCUGCACAAUCUUGGGAUAAUGGAGAGAGUUGCUUGUUGAGAUGCUUGUCGAGAUGCUUGAGGAGUUGCUAGUUGAGAUGCUAGUUGAGAUGCUUGAGGAGUUGCCUGUGGAGAUGCUAGUUAAGAUGCUUGAGAGUUGCUUGUUGAGAUGCUUGAGGAUUUGCUUGUUGAGAUGCUAGUUGAGAUGCUUGAGGAGUUGCUUGUCGAGAUGCUUGAGGAGUUGCCUGUUGAGAUGCUUGUUCAGAUGCUUGAGGNNNNNNNNNNNNNNNNNNNNNNNNNNNNNNNNNNNNNNNNNNNNNNNNNNNNNNNNNNNNNNNNNNNNNNNNNNNNNNNNNNNNNNNNNNNNNNNNNNNNNNNNNNNNNNNNNNNNNNNNNNNNNNNNNNNNNNNNNNNNNNNNNNNNNNNNNNNNNNNNNNNNNNNNNNNNNNNNNNNNNNNNNNNNNNNNNNNNNNNNNNNNNNNNNNNNNNNNNNNNNNNNNNNNNNNNNNNNNNNNNNNNNNNNNNNNNNNNNNNNNNNNNNNNNNNNNNNNNNNNNNNNNNNNNNNNNNNNNNNNNNNNNNNNNNNNNNNNNNNNNNNNNNNNNNNNNNNNNNNNNNNNNNNNNNNNNNNNNNNNNNNNNNNNNNNNNNNNNNNNNNNNNNNNNNNNNNNNNNNNNNNNNNNNNNNNNNNNNNNNNNNNNNNNNNNNNNNNNNNNNNNNNNNNNNNNNNNNNNNNNNNNNNNNNNNNNNNNNNNNNNGAUGCUUGAGGAUUUGCUUGUUGAGAUGCUUGAGGAGUUGCUUGACGAGAUGCUUGUCGAGAUGCUUGAGGAGUUGCCUGUUGAGAUGCUUGUUCAGAUGCUUGAGGAGUUGCUUGUCGAGAUGCUUGUCGAGAUGCUUGAGGAGUUGCUUGUUGAGAUGCUUGAGGAGUUGCUUGUUGAGAUGCUUGAGUUGCUUGUGAUUAUUUGUGUGGAGUAUGUGUAACUACUUGUUUGUGUGGAGUAUAUGUAAACCCUAGAGAUGAGGCUUGUGUGGAGUAUAUGCAACUCCUUCAGAAGAGACUUGUGUGGAGUGCAUCAUUUGUAUGAUCAUUUUCGGAAAACCCCAUGUGAAAUUACUCCAUAUGUUUGCAAAAGGCUUCUAUGGACUGGAUUUUACUCCAUAUAUAUGAUCAUUUUUGUUUGAAAAGUUUCAUUUAAUUUUGUGUGGAGUGCAUCAUCUGUGUGAUCAUUUUUGUUUAAUUAAGAGAUAAGAGGAGAGGGCAUUGGAAGAGAGAGAGAGGGAGAGAGAGAGAGAGAGAGAGAGAGAGAGAGAGAGGAAACUGGAAGAUACUCCUAAUGCAAGCACUCCAUUUACAGUACUCCUAAUGCUUGUACUGCAGUAAAACUACUCCUAAUGCUAUAACAGUUAACAACAACUGAAAUUACUGUAAUGUCCAACCAGAGGUCAGAAAAUAUGCUUCAAAUUUUGACAAAACUUCAGUUAAUUUUGACAAAUUUUGACUCCAGAUUUACAACUUCAUUUCAGACAAAACUUCAGUGAAUCACUAAAUAUUUUCAGAUACAAAAGCUGCACAUUCAUGACUAAGACAAUUCCUAACAAAACUACUCCUCUCUUGAGAAGUUGGAGUAACAGAAGUUGCACUUGCAUAAGUACAGAAGGUACACACACUAAAUUCUCAAUUUUCUGAAGAAGCACAUGCAGACCCAAGACAAUUUUUCUAAAGUUUAAUAAAACUACAGAAGCUGCACCACGACUAAGCUACAGAAUUUCCCUCGCCAAAGCAAUGAACAUUCAUGACUAGCAAGGGAACUGCAAGAUUAACAAGCUACUCUGAAGCUGAAGCUACAGAAGUUCAACAAGCUACAGAAGUUGGAGUAAUAGAAGCUUCAUGAGAAGAUUCAUAGUGAUGAAUUCAUGAGAAACUUCUUUGUUAAUCUACAGAAGCUAAAGAAGAUUCAUAAGCUAGUGAAGCUACAGAAGCUUCAUGUGUAACAGAGGCUACAGAAGCUUCAUGAGUAACAGAAGGCUACACAAACUUCAUGAGAAGUUGGAGAAUACCAUGAGGACGACAAGGUAGGUAUUGCAGCAGCAGGCUUCUCCCUCCAUGGCUCUCCUCUCCUCUUGAAUCGAUAUGGGCAGGAGCUUUUCUCUUCAUGGCCUGGCCUCCUUCCUUCACCAUGCAAGGAGUUUCAGUAGACAAGUUAACAGAAGCACAGACGACAACUUUUAAAAGAAGCUACAGAAGCUUCAUGAGAAUAAGUUUCAAUGAUUUUUUUUAUUCAGGACAAGUUUGAUCAAUCCAAUGAUUUGUUGUUUCUCACUGUCAGUAUGAAAGAUUGAUCUCAUGUUGUUUAUUUUGCAGCAUAGGGAAGUCCUUUCUGCAGGACAGAAAUUUGUGGUGGAUAAAGAGGCGAGAACCAACAAGUAAUUGAUCUCUUUUCCUAAUGGUUGAACAACUGCAGCUUCAGUUUAAGCAAUAAGAGCCAUAUUCAGGUUAGAGCUAUGAUUAGAAACACUAAUGCCAUUCGCGAUAUAACCUGAUUUCAGACCAGGGUUCUUAAGUUUUGUUUUCUGGAUUUGAGAGAAAUUCAAUCAAUUUUUUGAGGAAUUUUGAUGAAAAAAUUGAACGCAUUUUGCUUUUGGCUCGAUUUCACAUGUCACUACCUUUUUACUAAUUGUAAAUACUCACAGAAAUCAUAGUAUAUCGGUACUCACAGAAAUUUGGAUUCUUUUGAAUAAAUUUUUUGAGGAAAAGAGCACUCUGGUUCAGUCCAGUUCAGUAUCCAUAAACAUAGUGUAAUGUUCAGGGUUCAGUGUACGAGCAUAGCUACUUGAGCUCAAUACCAGUUUAGCACUUUAUAACAAAAAUUGCAGCACAAGGUAAUUAGGUGAAGCUGCAGAUUCAUGACCAAGACUAGGUAACAGAAGCUACAGAAGUUCAUGAGAAUAUUAACGAAGACACAAAAUUAGCUCCACUACAGGAAAGAACAGUACAGGAAUCUACUCUUGGCACAACACAACAAAGUUUACCAAGAUGUGUACACAAAGUUUACCAUCAAGGUUGUGAUGCUGCGCUGCAUCAGGCUCUACAGGAAUGAAGUUUGUGAUGUUGCACUGUCCAUGGCUCUGUCAUGCGCUGUCCAUGGCUACGGUCCAAGGCUCUUUCCUACUCUAGGCUCUCUACUCCAUCCAUCUGGCCAAAUCGAAGAGGAAAACAAAUUAGGGAAGUUUAACUAAUAACUGCAGUUUACCCAGCCCCAUGGUGAGAGGAAAACAAGCUGCAGAUACCACACACCCAAAUUCAACCAAUCUACUCCGACCGGCCGGUUAUCAAGUUCAAAGGUCUUGUUCAAAGGGAAGAAGAAGAAGAAUUUGUUCCAUCAAAGAGGAGACGGGGUCAGACCUUGAUACAGUACAAGGUCCAGAUGCGGCUCCACCUCCACCUGCUCGGGCUCCAGCUCCUACUGCCGCCGUCUUCACGCCCGCGCCGGCGCCGCUCCGGCUCCGCUUCAGCGCCUCCUUCAUGCCUCUCCACGAAGCAGAUCGAGCGCCAACGCACUCAGAUCUAGCGCCAGCGCGUUGCCGGCGCAUAAAAAUGGCAGCUUUCUGCAUCUACUCCUCGCCCAGCAGUGCAUUGCCGGAGUUUGAGAGGGUGGCGCAUUGGGAGCGGUGAGCUAGGCGGCGAUGCAUGGGGAGCGGUGAGCUAGGCGACGGUGCGGAGCAAGAUGCCGGCGAGAGGGCACAUCGACGGGGAGAGGACGGCGUCGCGCGCGAGAGAGAGACGAGUGGUGGGGAACGAGUGGUGGGUGGCGUCGGGCGAGAGAGAGGGGAACGUG